UGACAAGAGAGAUAUUAGAGUAAUGAAGGUUACUGCAGUUGACUCUAAAAUAGGGAGAUUUUCCUUGAUUAUCUGGCUGAGCCCAAUGUGAUCAUGUGAGUCCCUAAAAGCAAAAGAGGAAGGCAGAGGUAGAAAGCAGAAAUAUAUGAGACACAUAAAUUCGUCACUUUGCCUUUGCAUAUUUGACAGUGAAAGGGACUACUUGAGCAGGAAGUGAAUUCUUCCACAAUGCGAAUCAUCUUGGAAGUGGAUUCUUCCCCAGGGUCUCCAGAAAGGAACAUAAUUCUUUCUGCCUUGGUGUUUGCCUUGUAGGACCCUAAGCAGAGAACCCAGAGGAGCCAAGUAGUGCACUAAAUUCUGAUCCAGGGGAAAUUAUGAGAUGUGUAUUGGUUUAAGAUGUUAACUUUGUGGAAAUUUGUGACAACAGCAAUGGAAAACCAUCACAGAAGGAAACUCAGAAGCAAGUGUUCCAAACAGCCUUUAGUAAAGUGUCAUCCUUGGCUGUGCUGUUUUCUCCAGGAAGUUUUAUUUCAUAUUUUAGGCUCUGUUUGUCUCCCACUUCUUGCCUAUUCAUCUGGGGAACCUGAUAAAAAUGGUUAUUCUCUCCUAAACACAGCAAGGUGAUGUGCAGUAUGAUCCAGAGCUCCAGAAAGAAACAAGUUUUGGCUUUCACCUUGCCUGCAGCUUUGUGAGACCCCGUGGAGUGGACCCACGUUGUUAGUACCUGAACUCCUCACCCUGGAAUCAGUGAGAUAAUAAAUGUGUAUUUUCUUAAAGCACA